rnacentral:rRNA from 1 species
GACGAACGCUGGCGGCAUGCCUAACACAUGCAAGUCGAACGGUACCGCGCCUUCUUUUUUGGCGGGUGUGGGUGAGUGGCGAACAGGUGAGUAACACUUGAGUAACCUGCCCCCUUCUUCGGGAUAACCGCAUGAAAGUGCUGCUAAUACGGGAUAUUUUGCGUCUGUCUCAUCCUGGGUCUGGGUAAGUUGUUGGUUCGGUGGGGGAUGGGCUCGGGGCCUAUCAGGUUGUUGGUGGGGUGGUGGCAUAGCAAGGCGGGGACGGGUAGCCGGCCUGGGAGGGUGGACGGUCUGAUUGGGGAUGAGGCACGGCCACGACUGCUAUGGGACGCAGCCGUGGGGAAUACUGGACGAUGGGGGGAAGAAUAAUGGAGCGACGCCGCGUGAGGGAUGGAGCCCUGCGGGUUGUGAACUUCUUGCGCUAGUGAAGCAGGGCUGCCUUGUCUGUGAGGGGGUUGACGGUAGCGGGAUAAGAAGCGCCGGCUAACUACGUG